rnacentral:rRNA from 1 species
UACGAAGGGGGCUAGCGUUGUUCGGAUUUACUGGGCGUAAAGCGCACGUAGGCGGGUCGUUAAGUCGGGGGUGAAAUCCUGGAGCUCAACUCCAGAACUGCCUUCGAUACUGGCGACCUAGAGUCCGGAAGAGGUGAGUGGAACUCCUAGUGUAGAGGUGGAAUUCGUAGAUAUUAGGAAGAACACCAGUGGCGAAGGCGGCUCACUGGUCCGGUACUGACGCUGAGGUGCGAAAGCGUGGGGAGCAAAC